rnacentral:lncRNA from 1 species
AACUUCAACUUCAAAUGGUAGGUCGAUACGACAGCUCGGAGAGCAUUGAGGUCAGGUCGGCCGAGGAUUGCAUUGUAGGUGGAUGGCGCCUUCACCACCAAGAAAUUCACCAGAGCCCUGGACUGCUUUGGAUAUUGACCCACGGCCACAGUCAAAGUUAUCAUCCCUUCUGUUGGAAUGGCGUCGCCGGUAAACCCUACCAAGGGGGAGCUAAUCGGCCUC